rnacentral:rRNA from 1 species
UGGGGAAUAUUGCACAAUGGGCGCAAGCCUGAUGCAGCCAUGCCGCGUGUGUGAAGAAGGCCUUCGGGUUGUAAAGCACUUUCAGCGGGGAGGAAGGCGUUAAGGUUAAUAACCUUGGCGAUUGACGUUACCCGCAGAAGAACCACCGGCUAACUCCGUGCCAGCAGCCGCGGUAAUACGGAGGGUGCAAGCGUUAAUCGGAAUUACUGGGCGUAAAGCGCACGCAGGCGGUUUGUUAAGUCAGAUGUGAAAUCCUCGGGCUCAACCUGGGAACUGCAUCUGAUACUGGCAAGCUUGAGUCUCGUAGAGGGGGGUAGAAUUCCAGGUGUAGCGGUGAAAUGCGUAGAGAUCUGGAGGAAUACCGGUGGCGAAGGCGGCCCCCUGGACGAAGACUGACGCUCAGGUGCGAAAGCGUGGGGAGCAAACAGG